UUGAUUGCGAAUCGUUGCCUUCAGUGCUGGCCGGCCUCGGCAUGUGCACGUUGGUGGCUUUCAUCCAAUACCCUGUGAACCUUUGGCCUCUUGCUAGCUUUGGCCGGCAGAGGAUUUUACACAAACUGAAAUGUAAUGAUAAACUGUUGUGUGCAUAUGCACUACUAAUA
rnacentral:misc_RNA from 1 species